rnacentral:rRNA from 1 species
GACGAACGCUGGCGGCGUGCUUAACACAUGCAAGUCGAGCGGAGCGGCGAACGGGUGAGUAACGCGUGAGUAACUGCCCCCCUCCCUGGGAUCACAGUUGGAAACGGCUGCUAAUACCGGAUAGUGGGGGAUGACUCGCGUCCUAUCAGCUUGUUGGUGGGGUAGUGGCCUACCAAGGCGACGACGGGUAGCCGGCCUGAGAGGUGAACCGGAAACAUUGGGCUGAGAGACGGCCCAAACCACUACGGGAGGCAGCAGGGGGGAAUAUUGCAAAAGGGUGGAAAACCUGAUGAAGCAACGCGCGUGCGGGAUGACGGCCUUCGGGUUGUAAACCGCUUUCAGCCAUGAAGCGGUAGUGGCAGAAGAAGCACCGGCUAACUACGUGCCAGCAGCCGCGGUAAUUC